CAGGAAGUAGAACAGAUCUGAUAUUUUUAGCUUCUGUGUACAGACAAGGGACACUGAACCAAACACAACCUCAUUUCCUUUGGCUGCCCUGUGUCCUACCCUUGGCAGGGAAAUCUCCCCUCAAACCAUCACAAGGAGAAGUUUCCUAAGUAAGCACUUGAUCAUCUACAUCCUGGACAGUGAUUCUGAAAUCUGCACGUGUCUGCGAAGAAAAGGACAUGUGUCCUGCCCUGUUUCCAUGUGUCCUGCCCACAGAAGAAAUGUGAUGCUAGGAAGCCCGUGUUCGGCUGUUGGAGAGACCUGCGUUCAGACCCCAGCGCUGGCAUUAUUAACUGCAAAGCAUUAAGAAGUCAGCUAGACAUUUUGAAGCUCUUUCUCACCUGUAGGAUGGGGAAAUAUUUACUUCUCAGAAUUGCCAUGAGGAUUCAAGGUAAUUUACAUGAAGUGUCUGACACUGAUAAAUGAACACUGCAGUUGCUCUCCUUUUGGAAGUUAGCUUAGGACUUAUUCAACUUCUAGACCUACUUUUACUUUGAGGAGGGUAAAAACUUUAUUUGUCCCUGUAUUUCAUAGAAUAAU